rnacentral:rRNA from 1 species
GAUGAACGCUGGCGGCGUGCCUAAUACAUGCAAGUCGAGCGGACCAAAGAGAGCUUGCUCUCUGAGGUCAGCGGCGGACGGGUGAGUAACACGUGGGUAACCUGCCUGUAAGACGGGGAUAACUUCGGGAAACCGAAGCUAAUACCGGAUGAUAAAGAGAAACGCCUGUUUCUCUUUUGAAAGUCGGCCUUGUGCUGACGCUUACAGAUGGGCCCGCGGCGCAUUAGCUAGCUGGUGAGGUAACGGCUCACCAAGGCGACGAUGCGUAGCCGACCUGAGAGGGUGAUCGGCCACACUGGGACUGAGACACGGCCCAGACUCCUACGGGAGGCAGCAGUAGGGAAUCUUCGGCAAUGGACGAAAGUCUGACCGAGCAACGCCGCGUGAGCGAUGAAGGCCUUCGGGUCGUAAAGCUCUGUUGUCAGAGAAGAACAAGUACCGGAGUAACUGCCGGUACCUUGACGGUACCUGACCAGAAAGCCACGGCUAACUACGUGCCAGCAGCCCGCCGUAAAAC